rnacentral:rRNA from 1 species
CCCUUAGAUGUCCUGGGCCGCACGCGCGUUACACUGAUGCAUUCAACGAGUCUAAAACCUGCUCUGAUAGGGGUGGGUAAUCUUUUGAAUGUGCAUCGUGAUUGGGAUAGAUGAUUGCAAUUUUUCAUCUUCAACGAGGAAUGCCUAGUAAACGCAAGUCAUCAGCUUGCAUUGAUUACGUCCCUGCCCUUUGUACACACCGCCCGUCGCUCCUACCGAUUGAAUGAUCCGAUGAAUAUCAUGGAUUGAGGAUGCAAGUAGGUUCGCCUAUCUUCAUCUUCGAGAAGUGAAGUAAAUCUUAUCAUUUAGAGGAAGGAGAAGUCGUAACA